GUCUCCGUUGGUGAACCAGCGGAGGGAUCAUUACAGGACUCGCAAGACUCCUUCACCCUGUGAACCUCACUACAAGCACGUUGCUUCGGCGGGUGUCCCGGCGGGGGUUUUCCCUCGCCGGGGCGCACAGCCCGCCGGCAGCCUACUAUACUCUGUCUCUUUGCGUUGGCAUCUCGAGAAAAAACAAACAAGUUAAAACUUUCAACAACGGAUCUCUUGGUUCUG
rnacentral:misc_RNA from 1 species